CUCCCGAAUCCCUUCCGCCGCCUCUUCUCCUCUCGCGAUGCCGAGCCCAAAUGUCAGUGCUGAUCCCCACCUCACGAGCACCAUCGUCUUCCCCGACUCAUCGCCGGUGUCAAUCGUCAGCUGGUCGUGUGCCCUAGCCGCUCCAAUCCGCCGGAACCUUUUCUCCCGACCUCCUCCUCCCCUUUUCUCAUCGUCUAUCGUCGGCGCUGAUCGCUAGCAUGCGACGUGCCCAAAUGUCAGUGCAGAUCCAUCGUCUUCGACCUUAAGGCACAAGCAAGGAGGAUCUGUGCUUUGUCUAGAUUUGGUGAAGAGGAUGAUCAUUGAAGCAUCAUUUUCAAUGUGAAAUCAAAGAGGAGAGCAUAAACUUCUCACAGCUGUGGUUAAGGUCUUUAUUGAGCAGCUAUGCAUCUGAGAGGGGAGCUCAAUGUUCUCCAUAGCAACUUUGGAUUUCUUCAUUGAAGGGUUGCGGAUUUGUUUUGGGAUUUGUUACGUUUGCAAGAGAAGUACAAGAUAGUUGUAGAUUGUUGCUGAUGGCUGUUAGCUACUUCUAGUGCCACCUUGUUGCCAAAUUUGGGGACUUUGAUUCGAGACGAGUAUCUCGACGGGGAGAUAGCUCAGGAUGAUCUACAUUUAAGGCAGAUGAUUAAGCAGUUGCUUGGAGGUAUCCUGUCUGCCGGUCCCUUGUCACAUCAGAAGACGAUUUUACUUUGCAUUUUAUUUCUUUUAUAUAUAUUCUUUAAUGUUUUAGCAUUGUAUUAGUGUUUAGCCAUGUGACUAUUUUCUUUGAUUUUAGUGUUGUAUUUGUGUUUAAACCGUGCUAGCACGCAUUGUGUUGUA